CAGUCCCGGGGAAUGACUGUUCAACCUGACUUCAAUCAUAUGUCCACCUCUCUAUGAUCAGAUCUGUUAACAGAAGACAUGGCAGGGAAGAGAAAUAAUAACCAAUAUAAUGGGUGGUACAAUGUUAAAAUAUAUAUAUACUUGAGAAAAUAAUAAAUAAUAGGAAUAAAAAUCACAUUCUAUAAAAACCAAAUGCAUAUAGACAGCCAACUAUAUCGAAAGUUUAGGACAAAUAAUCCUAUGUUCAAGACAACAUCAGGGUGUGUUUAAACAGUUUAGAACUCUUCUUAAACCCGGCCCCCUCUUUCCUUCUAUUACUUUUUCCUCUAAAUAUAUUGCCUUCUAGUUGUUGGCCAAAUAUGGGACUGAAAUAUGUUUAAAUAUAUUGAAAUUAAUCAGUAAAGACUUGCUUACACUCUUUGCAGAUUUUAAAUCAGGAGAUUUUUAAAACCAUUUCAAACCUCACUAAGCUUUUUGUUUUGUUUACACAGAGGAUUCCCCAUGUCUCAUAAGCUUAAAGAAAAAAAAAUUAUUCAAUAGACCAGUCAAAUGGAAGAGGCUUUUAUUUGUAAAGAAAUGAACUUACAACUGAUCUACAAUAUAUUAUUGUAAUAUAAACAAUAUAAAUAAAUGAUCCUGUAGGCCCACUAAUCUUCCAUCCAGACCCACAUGAAGCAAUGUUACAACAAUAUUCUAUAUGAAAAUGUGCAGGUAACAAAGGUGCAAUUACAAGCAAGUUAAGCAGCAGAGUAUAAGGUGCUUUAAUUUAAUAGUUAAUGUUGCCAUCAACAAACAUUUAAAUGCUCAAUUUACUUCACUGAAUACAGACACAACAAAUAUGAAAAUCUAAAUUCAUACACAUGCUACUUAAUAUGAAAGUGCUUUCUCUUUUUUAAAAAAAUACACCAAAUGGACACUUUUUACAUAGAUCAAAUGUGCUCUUACAAUGCAAAAUUAACCUUCAUUUUCAGGUUAUACAUUUUAAAACUGUAGCUAUCAACACCAAUCUAGGAACUCUAAUGCUAAGAGUGCUAAAAACUAUUUCAUUUCUUGUAAGGAGGACUCUAAUACAAUAUCCAAUGUAAAGAAUACAUCUAUAUAUAAUCUUAACAUGUUUUCUGUAAAGAUAAAAAAUGUUUUCUUUCCCCUUGGUGAUCUUUGUUCAUCCUGGGUGGAUCAUCUUUUGAGGUUUUAAUAAUAUGAAAGUCCUAUUUUAGAACAAUGGGAGGAACCAAAAGGGGAAUUAAAAAAUUGGUUAACGUGUGCUUGAAGCAUCCAAAAAACACCAGUUUAUCACAACAAUUGGUCUUUGCUAAAAUUAACAAAAUUUUAAUAAGCAAGACGACAAAAAGUACUAAUUUAAAAGGCUUGAAAUGCCUGCCACCAUUGUCAGUAUCCAUCCAAAAUUAUAUCAUCUUUGCGCAUUCAGUUGACUUUUUAAAAUUUAAGAAUACAUAUACAAAAAGUACUUAUGGAAUACAUAUUUUAACAGCAUAACAUAUUUGAAGAAUUAGUUACACUUUAAAAAUUAAAACACUUGAAAAGUAUUUUUUAAACCAGUACCAUGGAAUAACUUUUUGAAACCCAGAUUAUCUGGCUACUUAGAUGAUAGUCUUCCUGUUUUCAAUUAGUUUGAAAGAUUCUAAUAUAGAUUCUAACCCAACAGUUUAUAUGGAUAUUUUCCUGCUUUAAAAAGCUGCAACAGGCUAGGCGCAGUGGCUCAUGCCUAUAAUCCCGGCACUUUGGGAGGCUGAGGUGGGCGGAUCACUUGAGGUCAGGAGUUCGAGUCCAGCCUGGCCAACAUGGUGAAACCCCAUCUCUACUAAAAAUACAAAAAACUGGCCAGGCAUAGUGGUGCAUGCCAGUAAUCCCAGCUACUUGGGAGGCCAAGGUGGGAGAAUCUAUUGAACCUGGGAGGUGGAGGUUGCAUUGAGCCAAGAUCACACCGCUGCACUCAAGCCUGGGUGACAGUGAGACUCUGUCUCAAAACAAACAAAACAAAAAAGCUAAAACAAUGAUAAACUAUUUUUAAUAGAUAUUUUCAUUCUAUAUCUUUAUGGAGAAUGUCAGUAUCAACUGAUGUUAACAAGUAAAGCUUUGUCAACAGGAAUUACAAUGUGAUUCACAGAUCCCAGAAUGACAAGGAAGGGACCUUAACCCAAUAAAUGAUUCUCCCAUUCAAUGUUUACCCCCUAGAUACUUAACAAUUCAAGCAUGGAACUGUUUCAUGUUUACCCGUUCUACAUUUAAAGGAUGCCCUUUUACUAUAUAUGUGCUUUCUAGAAUAUUACUGAUUCUUACAUAUCUUUAAAAGUUGGAUAUUUGUAAUAGCUUAAAGUACAGUAACACUUAUUUUGUGUAAUCUUUCUUAAUUUAAAAACAAAAAAUAAAUGAACAAGUCAGUUCCAAUGAUCUCCUUUGAGAUUUUUCAGUUUUAGAAAGUUGCUACACUGUCGGACAGGUGUGGUGGCUCAUGCCUGUAAUCCCAGCACUUAGGGAGGCCAAGGCAGGUGGAUCACUUGAGGUCAAGAGUUCGAGACUAGCCUGGCCAACAUGGUGAAGCCCCGUCUCUACUAAAAAUACAAAAAUUAGCCAGGUGUGGCGGCGGGCACCUGUAAUUCCAGCUACUUGGAAGGCUGAGGCAAGACAAUCGCUUCAACCCGGGAGGUGGAGGUUGCAGUGAGCUGAGAUCGCACCACUGCACACCAGCCUGGGCAACAGAGCGAACCCAUCUCAAAAAAAAAAAAAAGAAAAAAAAAAAAAAAGAAAGAAAGUUGCUCACUGUCAAUACUGGGUAAAAAGCUCUUAUAUCAACACCAGCUUUUUUUUUGUUCUGCCACAUGCCUUGUAUAGCAACAACUCUGGAAUAGAGUCAAGUGUCAAAAUAAUGUUGUGAAAUACGGGCUGUCUCAACCUGUAAGUCCUUAAUGUUAAGUCUCCUAAAUUUUGUAACUUAAUCAGGUAUGGGGCCAACUGAUGUUUAGUAUGUGAAAUGUGUUAUAAAAAUUAUGAUAUGAUUCACUCAGACCCCUUAGAUGUCAUCUAGCCUAACCCUUUACCCAAUGUAUACAAAUAUUCCCUCCCAGUUCCAAGUUUAUUAAGAUUCCCUCUCAGUAUAUUAAGUAGUAAUGAUUAUGUUCAUAUUUAUUUAAGCCACAAUGAAUUUUGGGGGGAAGAUUUUACUUACUACUAGUUCCUCAUGUCAUGUUCACCAAACACUGCACAUGUAAGUGUUCAAAUAGUUUGCUAAAUGAAUUUAAGUACAUGAAUGACAAUAUUCAUAUGUGUUCAUAUAUUCAGUGGUUAACCAAUAAGGAGCAUUUAGGAAAAUGUCAUCAUUUGCUUGUUAUGUAUGAAUUUUCUAUUUUAAUCCUUAGGAGAACAAAGACUGUAGGUGACCCAAGAAAUGGAUGCUUAUUAAGUAUAAAAUGAACCCUUAAAAAAGGAAAGAGAAUAAAGUAGGAAUAACCCCAUUACACAGCCUAGAAUCAUAGUUUUAGAGCUGGGAGGUACCUUAAAGAUGAAUUAAACCAAAAUCAACUUUUGAGUAGUACAGGCACCAUACUGCAUAUCUGGAAGCUGUUAAAACAGCUGAGUAAUUGCCCAACAUGUCACACACAGCUAACCCACUGAAAUAAAACCCCAGUCUCCAGACCAGUGUGUUAAUCCUCAUUCAUCAUCAUCUUAAUUCAUUAUUUACUACUGAAAUAGAUUAUUUACUGAUUAUUUAAUACUACCCAAAACAAAAAAUACUUUUAAGAGAAGCAUUCUAAAUAAAGAUUUAAACACUAGACACUUCUGGUUUACUUUAGGCAAGACUAAAAAAUUCUUUCUAAAACAGGUUGAUGUUUAACUUCACUAAUGACUAGACACCCCACCACUCUCUCAUAAACACCAACUUUUUCACCACCAUCACUUAAAGCUCCACAAAGCUUGGAUUUAACACUGAUAAUAUUCCAUGAAAUAUAACUUUUAAGCCAAUAAGUGAUGGUGACUAUCAAUCCUUAAGAUGAUUACUGGAGUAAAUUUAAACAGGUGCUCUAAAAGAACUUACUACCUUACUCUUAUAUUUAAUUAACACCUUGCCAUGUUAGUAUAACAGUGUUUUCAAAUUAUGUUGUUUUCAAAACUGAAAUUCAUUCAUUACUCUGCUUUUUUUAAACAACAAAUUUUGUUUUCUUUCUAUGGAUUCAUACUGAACACCACCAGUAUCACUGAGAGGACUAGUACUUGUAAAAAGCAGUAGAAACAAAAAUAUUUUUCAAAAGUAUAAAGCUAGCUAGAACCUCACUAUGUUGUACCUCUAACAUUUCCGAUUAAAAUUGUCAUCUUUAAGUAAAAUUAAAUGUCAACAAACUAUAAAAGGGAAAAAAUAAAACAUCUGGAAAACAUUUCCCAAAUGUUCCCAUAAACAUGACACUUGGAAGGGGUGUGUGCAUGUGUCUGAGUAGAAAAGCUGAUCUUCAGAGCUGAAAAGGAGGGCAGAGAUUCUCCCUUAAUGUAUGUUUUCUAAAUUGAAAGUUUAGAAAAAGCCAUAUUCUCUGGAAUGUGAUGGUAAUAAUUAUAUUUGUAUUAUUUGUAUUAAUGCUUUACAACUUUCAAAAAAAAGCUUUCUCAUAGUACAAUUUUAAAACGGAUUAGGUUCUAAAAACUAAUAUGUAAAACUUUGAAAAUUCUUAAAAAUUUAGGAAAUUCUUUUUCCAAAGAAGGUAAUCUAAUUUUAAAUUUAUUUGAAGAAAGCUUAUAUAACUACUGUGAACAAAACUAUAUGAUACAUUUUAUGAACUUCUAAUAAAAGAGGACGUAUCUUCCCAAAUAAUUUUUUGUUUUGUUUUUUUGAGAUGGAGUCUCGCUCUGUCACCCAGGCUGGAGUGCAGGGGUGUGAUCUUGGCUCACUGCAACCUCCACCACCUGGGUUCAAGCAAUUCUCCUGUCUCAGCCUCCCAAGUAGCUGGAAUUACAGGUGCAUGCCACCACACCCAGCUAAUUUUUGUGUUUUUAGUAGAGAUAGGGUUUCACCAUAUUGGUCAGGCUGGUCUCGAACUCCUGACCUCAGGUGAUCUACCCACCUCAGCCUCCCAAAGUGCUGGGAUUACAGGUGUGAGCCACCAUGCCCAGCCCCAAAUAAUUUCUUUUAAGAUAUACAGCUUAACAAGUUGAAAUUUUAGUAAGAUUGCAUAUUUACUUUUCCUAAUACUGUAUUUGUGCUUAUCUAAAGUGGAUCACAAUCUUUGAGAUGAAAUUAAAUGCUCCAAGUAGAUUUGUAAAAUACCAAUAUUGAUGAAUGUGGGUAAACAGUUCAUUUCAUGAUCCACACUGCUGUGAACCAAAGAAGCAGAGGUAGGCUUGUGUUUACUGAAAUCCAGACUAGGAAAGAGAAACCUAUAGCUCUUCUUUUCCCAAUUCUUAGACUGAGACACAACCUAGCAAAUAAAAUACUAUCUUAAAAUGCCUCUCUUUAUAACAAUCUACAGAGGUGAUUCAACUGUGAUAUCUGAAAAUGGAAACUCUGUAAUUCUGGCAACUCAAUUACAACAACCUUUGAAUUUUUGACAAAUAUUCUCCAACUGUAAUAAAAGGUUCUCACCUUUUUCAGAAAUCAAAAAUCACUAACUUCUACAUCACUGGAACUAUUAAUAUCCAUGCUCCCAAGCAUGGAGACAGUGGGUAUAGAGAGUGAAAGAAUGAGUCUGAUUACAGGUAAAUCUUGACAUAUAAAAACUAUAACCUAUUUACUGCUAUAACUGGCAUCUAACAAAACGCAUUAUUUUGAACUAUGGAUGAAAGCCAUAUCUAUCCUAAAUAUCUUCUAUCCUCUUGGGUCUAGAAUGCUUUGUUCCUCCUACUUGUCUCCUCCUCUACUUCCCUAUCCUUCCCCCUAGAAAACCUUCCUUAGGGCCCAGCUAGUUACAUAUGUAGUACACAAGAUAGAGAUUGAGCAAUCAUUUUGCAUAGAUGCGCCAGUUUCCACUGCCCAAAGGUUGCUCUGGAACAUGACUGUCAGGUAUCAGAAAGUCCUGCCCCAGCUGCCUCCCUUCCUAAAGUUAGCCCCCAUACGAAAUCCUCUCUAAGGAUUCUGAGACAAAGAUCUCUCCAAGAAAGAAGUUUUCAUGGUUUUCUUGGAGCUAGAGGCCUUAGAGAGGUAGUGAGAUGAGGCCCUUUCAUGCCAUUAGCUAAUGCUCAAUGCCAGUAGGCUGCAUGUGUUCCUGCAAUCCACCAAGGUGAAAACCACAAACUAUAACCAGGCUGUUCUGGCUGAAAAUACAUCUUUAAAACAUUUUAACAGUGUGUCCAGUCAGUUUCAUCCACUGGAUAUGGCUGUCAGGUCAGCAUCACUCACAUACAUCUAUAAUAGUGUAUUCUUUCAAAAAUUGUUUAUACACACUUAAUAUAGGCAUAUAGCCUAAGACUAUAUUGCCUCCCUACCAUACUUGUGCCAUUGUGGUACCAAAAGCCUGAAGAUGUACAUAAUGUACUUUAAGACAUUUAACUGAACAAGUCAGUGGGAGACAGGGCACUAUAACACAUUUCAAUUCAAUCUAAGACUUGUAUUUGUGAAUAGAUGUCUCAUUAUAAUUUUAUACUUGAUACAUGAAGAUAAGCUACGUCAAAAAUUAUUCAAAGGCAUGAUCACAAUAAUACUUGUUUCAUAGUUCUAAGUAUUUUGAUACACCAGGAAACAAAAAUCAACUGGGAUCCCUAAUGAAAGAAAAUUAUUUCUUCUAAGUAAAACAUGAAUUUCACUUCAAAAGUGCAGAAAUGUGCUCAGUGUUGAAGUAGGCUAAGCUAACAAGGAUGAUGGCCUCCUCCUCUGACUCUUCCCAUGCUCAAGCUUUUGCAUUACCAUUUCUCUCCUCCCAUUCCACCUUGUCUACUCCUAGGUGACUGCUCUUAAAACACACCUUUUAAAAAGUUCUGUUUAGAGCAUUCAACAGCAAAGUAACAGGACCAUCAGGGAAAUAAUAUGCUACUUAAAAAGUGACAGGAGGAUUUGGGACAACACUCUAUCUCAUACUAUAUUGACUACUCAAAGCUGCAUAGCUGUGUCUUACACAUGCCUACACAAGGCUUGAUGAAUAUUAAUGUCAUAUAAAAAAUAAUUUUUACAAAUCAGCUCUCUUAGUUGUUUAACUUCCCCAGGAACACAAGGCUUAAAGCAAAAUUUCAAACUUAUGCUUUUUAUCCCAAUGGGACAAAGAGUGCAACACUGCAAGGAAGUCAGAAAAUGCAAACUUAGGUAGCAAAAGUAGGAAGAACCUCCAUGUUCCCUUUCUGUUUGUCAUUAUCUCUCCCCAGUCAAAAUCCUAAAACUAUUAGUAGUAGUAUGAAAGGAUAUGAAAACAAUUUACUCUCCCCACCUAUAUCAUACUGAAACUCUGCUUUAAAGCUCAGGAGAGAGGUGGAUGCUCAGUGUUGUCUAUAUAUCCUUAAGACAGCAGUAGGCACAGGGGCUUUCAAUAAGUACAGAAUGGCUGCUAUUAGGAAAGAGAACAAAUAAAAGGAGAGCCUACAACACAGUUCAAAAUUGAUACCUUAAAGGCCAUAGGUAAUACAGUUAUAGGAUGUAAUCAUUAUUGCUGGAGCAGUCUAUCCCCAUAUAAUAAAUUUUGUAUUAACCGUGGAUAAUCUAUGAAAAGUUUUAAUUCCAGGCGAGAUUUUCCGUUGCACCUCUCUCUCUCAUACUGUGGGCCAUCUCUUACUAAUGCUUAGCCUGUAUUUGUGUUCUGAAAUUCCAAGAAGAGGGAAAAGUCAAGCAUAUGACAAUUCUGUCAUGAUGAUUAACUGCUAAUAAAUGAAAACUCAUUAUAGAGUACCUAGCUUUCCUUGAUACUUUAAUCCAAUGAUUAAAAAUGUGAUAUAAAGAAAUACGUAACAUAGACUACAAGCUAUCGUAGGUCUGGAACAUGAGCCUUA
rnacentral:lncRNA from 1 species